CCUAGGAUGGGAGGAAACCGGUGAAACCCUCGGCCGCAGAAGCAGAGCCCGAGAACUUAACGACUCGGCCACGGGGCUGGCCCCGGAUUUGUUUUUGCCACUUACUAGAUGUGAACUCACCUAGAUCACUCUCUCGGGGAGAAGCCAGUUACCAUGUUAAACAGACACGCAAGCAGCGCUAUGGAGAGACUUAGAUGGUAAAGAACGGAGGCCUUCUGGUGACCACCAGAGAGGAACUGAGGCCUCCUGCAACAGCCUGGUGGAUGGGCCGUCUUAGAAAACGAUUCUUCAGCUCCAGUCAAGCCUCCAGAUAACUGAAGCCCAGGCUGUCACCUCGACUGUGACCCCGUGAGAGAAGCUGAGCCAGAACCACCCAGAGGCAGAAGAGAUGCAGCAGAAGGAGAAGUCAGCGGGAUCCCAAACACGAGAAGGAUUUGCUGCACCGUUGCUGGUCCUGAGAGGUAGGGGGUCACAUGACUGUGUGCUAGAACUGGAGGGACGUCCCUAAAAGCUAAAAGGUGACUGACUGACAGCCAGCAAGGAGACUGGGACGUGAAUAAGCUUGGAAGCAAAUUUUCCCCCAGAACUUCCAGGCUCAUCUUAGCACUGAAUAAUAGCAGCUGUUGAAACAACCUCCACAGCUGAGACAGACGUGCAUUUCUGUGACAUAAAGCAAGAGGCCACAUUCUGACCUGCUCUGGUGAUGAAGAAAUGCUCUUGGAGUUGAGUGCCAGCCCAAUUUUACUGGUGUGGGACACAUCAUUGUGGAAUGGUGGCCGCAGCCAUUCGAUAUUUGAGAUUCCCUCUGGGAGCGAGGAGACGGAAGGGGAGCGUUUGAAGAGGCUGAAGGAGACCUGGAGAGAGAGGUGUCACAAAAGCCAAGUGAAGAGAGGGGCAACAGAAGGAAUGCCAAUUAUGAAAUUAGCCGAGAGUUUAGGCCCAAGAGGCCACUGGCCAAUUAGGGUCUCGCUGGUCAUCUUACAGAGAGCUUCCACCCAAGUCCUGGAGGGAAGAAGCCAGAAGGACAGGUAAAGGCAAAACGAUUGGAGCCCAGUAAUUAGGCUCUUCUAAAAAGAGCAUAAUUCUCUAAGUAGAGAAAGAGACUCAGAAGAGGCUGGAGCAGAUUAACAUAAGAUUAUUCACGAGACACCAAGGCUGGCAAUUUCCUUUCAUUUGUUUUAACCUGUGCUCUGGUCGGAGAGGCCAGUUUCUCUCCAUUUUGUUUCUGAUCUUUGUUUUCCUCUUCCCAUUGUUCUUCUGAGAAAACGAUUCUAUGGGUCUUUAUUAAUAAUUUAUUUUAUACCCUAAAUCAGAAAUAAGACGUUUCUUCAUUUUGCUGUGAAAAUUCCCAGUUCUUAAUAAAUUGUUGAAUUUUUCAUGAGACUCUGCCUUGGGGAAAACCUAUUCCAUGAUACAGUUCUUGAAUGAGAAACACAAAUGUAGACAAUUACAUAAUUAUAAGAAGACAAUUUUACCUCUCCUGUACGACAAUUUAAAUCCUUAGAACAUGACAUGAUUUCACUAAAAAAAAAAACGAGUCUCCUAACUCUCUGGUUCCUUGUUGUAUCUCAGAUCCAGGCAUAGUGCCUUGCACUCAACAAAUAUUCAUCAGUGAAUUAAAGACAUCACCCACUUGGUAUUAAUCACAUGUUGCUUUGUAUUGAAAAUGAAUAUGUUUAGAUCUCACUUCAAAUGAGUACGUUUCUUAAGUGACUAUGUUUAAGACUCCAUCACCAGAUUUUGGUAUCCCUGAGGUCAGGAUCUAUAAAUUUUCUCUCUUUGCAG
ensembl:lncRNA